rnacentral:misc_RNA from 1 species
UCGUAACAAGGUUUCCGUAGGUGAACCUGCGGAAGGAUCAUUAAAGCGUUGCCGACGUCGGCCCCGGCCGUUCGGCUUGAAAUAUAGCCUGGACGGUGCUGGAGGUCGCCGGCAGUUGCCCAUUCUUGCCUACUGACCCAGUUGCCUCGGCGAGCCGUGCCACUCGUGGCAGACCGGAAGCCGUUUGAACCCCUAGGGCUCAGGCGGCCCUGGCCAGUGCCCGCCGACGGACAGACUUAAAAUCUUUAUAUAUUGGCCGUCUGAGCGUAUAAAGCAAAUCAAUUAAAACUUUCAACAACGGAUCUCUUGGUUCCGGCAUCGAUGAAGAACGCAGCGAAAUGCGAUAAGUAAUGUGAAUUGCAGAAUUCCGUGAAUCAUCGAAUCUUUGAACGCACAUUGCGCCCCCUGGUAUUCCGGGGGGCAUGCCUGUUCGAGCGUCAUUGCAACCCUCAAGCUCGGCUUGUGUGAUGGGCGACCGUCCUUCCCCUAGGGGCGGGACGCGUCCGAAAAGCAGUGGCUAGGCCGCGAUUCCGGCGCCUGAGCGAAUGGGACUUCCACCGCUUCUAGGACCGGCCGGCACUUGGCCUUUAAACACGGUCUUAACUGACCAUCUAGGUUGACCUCGGAUCAGGUAGGGAUACCCGCUGAACUUAAGCAUAUCAAUAA